rnacentral:rRNA from 1 species
GAUGAACGCUGGCGGCGUGCCUAAUACAUGCAAGUCGAGCGGAAAGGCCCUUCGGGGUACUCGAGCGGCGGACGGCUGAGUAACGCGUAGGAAUAUACCCCAAAGUGAGGGAUAACUGCCCGAAAGGGUGGCUAAUACCGCAUGUGGUCUUCGGACUAAAGCCUUCGGGCGCUUUGGGAAUAGCCUGCGUAAGAUUAGCUUGUUGGUGAGGUAAUGGCUCACCAAGGCGACGAUCUUUAGCUGGUCUGAGAGGAUGACCAGCCAGACUGGAACUGAGAUACGGUCCAGACUCCUACGGGAGGCAGCAGUGAGGAAUUUUCCGCAAUGGGCGAAAGCCUGACGGAGCGACGCCGUGUGGGUGAUGAAGGUUUUCGGAUCUUAAAGCCCUGUCAGCGAGAACGAUAUUGACGGUACUCGCAGAGGAAGCCCCGGCUAACUACGUGCCAGCAGCCGCGGUAA